GCUUACACAUGCAAGUCGAGUGCGCGGUUGUAGCAAUACAACUGGCGCACGGCGCACGGGUGCGUAACACGUGGGUAACCUGCCCUUUAGUGGGGAAUAACCCCGGGAAACCGGGGCUAAUACCGCAUAAGAUCCGCAAGGAUGAAAGCCGUAAGGCGCUGAUGGAGGGGCCCGCGCACGAUUAGCUAGUUGGUAGGGUAACGGCCUACCAAGGCUAUGAUCGUUAGCUGGUCUGAGAGGAUGGCCAGCCACACUGGAACUGAGACACGGUCCAGACUCCUACGGGAGGCAGCAGUGGGGAAUCUUGCACAAUGGGCGAAAGCCUGAUGCAGCGACGCCGCGUGGGGGAUGAAGCUUCUCGGAGUGUAAACCCCUUUCGACCCGGACGAAUGCCCGCAAGGGAUUGACGGUACGGGUAUAAGAAGCCCCGGCUAACUACGUGCCAGCAGCCGCGGUAAGAACGUUGGGGGCCA
rnacentral:rRNA from 1 species